rnacentral:lncRNA from 1 species
CACAGACAAGCUAUCACCCACAGGGACAGCAAUCACCAGAGGCAAAAAGGAAAGAGAUCUUCAUGUAAACAGAGUCCCUCUUAUUGGCUGAAGUGAAGAGUCAUUCUGAGGAGGAUCUGAAAAUGUAGAGGUGAGACGCUAAUGGCAGAGUGGCCUCAGCUUUCACCAGGUUUUGAAAACAUCUGUGAGGGAGGCACCAAAUUCACUGUCCUGCAGCUUUGACUUCCCAAUCCUCGUUGCCUCGUGCUGCCAGCCUGUAUGCUGGUAGAAGUGUGUUCCUGGGAACAUCCUGGCAUCUUGUGUUAGGACUACACUGGUGCAUGGGACAGAUCACGCUCAAGAAGGUCGAUGUAAUUUGAAAAACAGAUGGGCUCUGCUUUGUGAAAACUCCAAGCAUAUGAAGUCUAACUUGAAUAAAAGGCAUCUCAAGAUGAAGGUUUCCUAUUUGUGAUUAUGAAAAAAAUGUCAAGAACAAGUCCCUUGGUGUUCUUAGACCAAAGUCAGAACAACAGACCUAGUAAGUAUUCUCUCAGCAUUCAUUACAUGUUAGCAACCUUCAAAGCAGUUUGUGUUCCCUCAUAUGGUCCUCCAUGAGGUAAGUAUCAGAGCUAUAGUAAGAUCUAUUUAACAGUGAGACCCAAAUGUGUCCCAAGACCACUCAGGAUUGCCCUGGUAACCCUGAAGCUCGAAAAUCCCUGAGAUCAAGACUGAAGGAGUCUGUGUUGUUCCUCCCGCAUGCUUCUUCCUUGCAUGUCCCUUUUUCUUCCCUUUCUGUAUCCUUUCUUCCCCAU